rnacentral:rRNA from 1 species
GUGGGGAAUUUUGGACAAUGGGCGCAAGCCUGAUCCAGCAAUGCCGCGUGCAGGAAGAAGGCCUUCGGGUUGUAAACUGCUUUUGUACGGAACGAAACGGUCCGGGUUAAUACCCUGGGCUAAUGACGGUACCGUAAGAAUAAGCACCGGCUAACUACGUGCCAGCAGCCGCGGUAAUACGUAGGGUGCAAGCGUUAAUCGGAAUUACUGGGCGUAAAGCGUGCGCAGGCGGUUUUGUAAGACAGGCGUGAAAUCCCCGGGCCCAACCUGGGAAUUGCGCUUGUGACUGCAAGGCUGGAGUGCGGCAGAGGGGGAUGGAAUUCCGCGUGUAGCAGUGAAAUGCGUAGAUAUGCGGAGGAACACCGAUGGCGAAGGCAAUCCCCUGGGCCUGCACUGACGCUCAUGCACGAAAGCGUGGGGAGCAAACAGGAUUAGAUACCCCUGUAGUCC